CUGGGCUUCAUACAAAUGUGUGACAUCUGAACUAGAUCCUGGUAACUGAAGCAGUGCAAACUCAUGGAUUGUCCUUUGCUGCAUGUUUACAGUGUGAACUUGCAGUCCAUCUGCCCAUACAGUCAUCUGCUAAACCACCAGGGACACAGCUGGCAGAAAUAAAACCUAAGAGAAAAUCAUCUCCAGAAGAAUGGCUUCAGGAUGGUGCUACUGCAGAUAUUUCUAAAUAUAUUGUCCUCUGAAAAUCAGUAUUUUCUCCAGUUCUACCUCUCCCAGUCUGGAAAUAAUUGGGUUGUGCCACUGAUUCUGACUCUAGAAUAAAAAAAAUAUUGCAAUUUC